UACAGAGGUCUCAACCGUUGUUCGGAUUCAUUGGGCGUAAAGGGUGCGUAGGCGGUCGCGCAAGUCGGAUGUGAAAUCUCGAGGCUCAACCUCGAAACUGCAUUCGAUACUGCGUGGCUAGAGUGCUGGAGGGGAGACUGGAAUUCCUGGUGUAGCGGUGAAAUGCGCAGAUAUCAGGAGGAACACCGGUGGCGAAGGCGGGACUCUGGGCUGACACUGACGCUCAUGCACGAAAGCGUGGGGAGCAAACAGG
rnacentral:rRNA from 1 species